UGGCCCACAUGUUAGUGCCACAAC
rnacentral:miRNA from 1 species